rnacentral:rRNA from 1 species
UACGGGGGGGGGCAAGCGUUGUUCGGAAUUACUGGGCGUAAAGGGCUCGUAGGCGGCCAACUAAGUCAGACGUGAUACUCCGUCGUCUAACCGGGGAACUGCGUCUGAUACUGGAUGGCUAGAGGUUGGGAGAGGGAUGCGGAAUUCCAGGUGUAGCGGUGAAAUGCGUAGAUAUCUGGAGGAACACCGGUGGCGAAGGCGGCAUCCUGGACCAAUUCUGACGCUGAGGAGCGAAAGCCAGGGGAGCAAACGGG